AGCGAACGCUGGCGGCAGGCUUAACACAUGCAAGUCGAGCGGGCAUAGCAAUAUGUCAGCGGCAGACGGGUGAGUAACGCGUGGGAACGUACCUUUUGGUUCGGAACAACUGAGGGAAACUUCAGCUAAUACCGGAUAAGCCCUUACGGGGAAAGAUUUAUCGCCGAAAGAUCGGCCCGCGUCUGAUUAGCUAGUUGGUGAGGUAAUGGCUCACCAAGGCGACGAUCAGUAGCUGGUCUGAGAGGAUGAUCAGCCACAUUGGGACUGAGACACGGCCCAAACUCCUACGGGAGGCAGCAGUGGGGAAUAUUGGACAAUGGGCGCGAGCCUGAUCCAGCCAUGCCGCGUGAGUGAUGAAGGCCCUAGGGUUGUAAAGCUCUUUUGUGCGGGAAGAUAAUGACGGUACCGCAAGAAUAAGCCCCGGCUAACUUCGUGCCAGCCGCCGCAGUAA
rnacentral:rRNA from 1 species